GACGUAGGGCGCGAGCGUUGUCCGGAUUUAUUGGGCGUAAAGCGCGCGCAGGCGGCCUGAAAAGUCUAUGGGUGAAAUGCCGGGGCUCAACCCCGUGUGUGCCCAGGAUACUGUCAGGCUGGAGACACGGUAGAGGCAAGCGGAAUUCCGGGUGUAGCGGUGGAAUGCGUAGAGAUCCGAAGAACACCGGAGGCGAAGGCGGCUUGCUGGACCUGGCUG
rnacentral:rRNA from 1 species